rnacentral:tRNA from 1 species
GCGCCUGUAGCUCAGUUGGAUAGAGCAUCUGCCUUCUAAGCAGGUGGUCGCAGGUUCGAAUCCUGCCAGGCGUG